UACGUAGGGGGCUAGCGUUGUUCGGAAUUACUGGGCGUAAAGGGCGCGUAGGCGGUACUUCAAGUCAGGCGUGAAAGCCCCGGGCUCAACCUGGGAACCGCGCUUGAGACUGGAGAACUAGAGUUCGGGAGAGGAUGGUGGAAUUCCCAGUGUAGAGGUGAAAUUCGUAGAUAUUGGGAAGAACACCGAUGGCGAAGGCAGCCAUCUGGACCGACACUGACGCUGAGGCGCGAAAGCGUGGGGAGCAAACAGG
rnacentral:rRNA from 1 species